rnacentral:rRNA from 1 species
ACACAUGCAGUCGAGGGGUAACAGAUCUUCGGAUGCUGACGACCGGCGAACGGGUGAGUAACACGUAUGCAACUUACCCAUAACUCGGGAAUAGCCCAAAGAAAUUUGGAUUAAUACCCAAUAAUACAGGCGUACCGCAUGGUAUUCUUCGUUAAAGAAUAAUCGGUUAUGGAUAGGCAUGCGUUCUAUUAGGUAGUUGGUGAGGUAACGGCUCACCAAGCCGACGAUGGAUAGGGGAACUGAGAGGUUGUCCCCCCACACUGGUACUGAGACACGGACCAGACUCCUACGGGAGGCAGCAGUGAGGAAUAUUGGUCAAUGGACGAAAGUCUGAACCAGCCAAAUCGCGUGAAGGAAGAAGGUAUUAUGUAUCGUAAACUUCUUUUGUAAGAGAGUAAAGUGCACUACGUGUAGUGUAUUGCAAGUACCUUACGAAUAAGCAUCGGCUAAUUCCGUGCCAGCAGCCGCGGUAAUACGGAAGAUGCAAGUGUUAUCCGGAUUUAUUGGGUUUAAAGGGUGCGUAGGUGGUCUAAUAAGUCAGUGGUGAAAUCUCUUUGCUUAACAAGGAAAUUGCCAUUGAAACUGUUAGACUUGAGAAUGGACGAGGUAGGCGGAAUUCGUAGUGUAGCGGUGAAAUGCAUAGAUAUUACGAAGAACUCCAAUAGUGUAGACUGCUUACCAGACCAUAUCUGACACUAAGGCACGAAAGUGUGGGUAUCAAACAGGAUUAGAUACCCUGGUAGUCCACACAGUAAACGAUGAAUACUAACUGUUUGCGAUAUACAGCAAGUGGUCGAGCGAAAGCGUUAAGUAUUCCACCUGGGAAGUAUGCCGGCACGGUGAAACUCAAAGGAAUUGACGGGGCCCGCACAAGCGGAGAACAUGUGGUUUAAUUCGAUAAUACGCGAGAACCUUACCCGGGCUCGAACGAUAUUUGAUACAUCCGAAAGAUGU